CCUACGGGGGGCUGCAGUGAGGAAUAUUGGUCAAUGGCCGGAAGGCUGAACCAGCCAAGCCGCGUGAAGGACGAAGGUGCCAAGCAUUGUAAACUUCUUUUGUCAAGGGACAAAAUCAGGCUCGAGAGCCUGACCGAGGGUACUUGAAGAAAAAGCAUCGGCUAACUCCGUGCCAGCAGCCGCGGUAAUACGGAGGAUGCGAGCGUUAUCCGGAUUUAUUGGGUUUAAAGGGUGCGUAGGCGGGCUGUUAAGUCAGCGGUAAAAGCCCGGGGCUCAACCCCGGCGAGCCGUUGAAACUGGCUGUCUGGAGAUGGAGAGAGGUAUGCGGAAUGCGCGGUGUAGCGGUGAAAUGCUUAGAUAGUGCGCAGAACGCCGAUUGCGAGGGCAGCAUACCGGCGGCGCUCUGACGCUGAGGCACGAAAGCGUGGGUAUCGAACAGGAUUAGAUACCCCUGUAGUC
rnacentral:rRNA from 1 species